AAAAGCUUUCUUUAAUUGAAUAAUUGAAUUUAAUUUUUUAGUGCAAAAGCAAAAAUAAAAAUUAGGGACAAGAAGACCCUAUGAAUUUUUAUUAAAUUUUAUAAAACUUUAUAUAAAAUUUAAUUUAAUUGGGGUGAUGGAAAAAGAAUAAAUAUCUUUUUUUAAAAAAAAAUUGGUUCCGUUUUUAGCGAUUAAAUGAAAAAAAUACUCUAGGGAUAACAGCGUAAUAAUUUUGGAUAGUUCAUAUAGAUAAAAUAGUUUGCGACCUCGAUGUUGGAUUAGGAUUCUUUUUUGGUGAAGAAGUUAAAAAAAGAAGUUUGUUCAACUUAUAAUUUCCUACUUGAUCUGAGUUCAGACCGG
rnacentral:rRNA from 1 species